GGCAGGUUGCAGGGCAGAAAGGUCAGGUCCGAAUCAUUACCCAAAGCUCACUCAAGUGAACUUGAGGUCUUGAAUGGUCCCCUGCGAACAGACGGGCCCAGGCUGCUGGGCUAGAGACGGCGUUUCCUUGCACCUGCUCACAGCAAAUUCUUGAUAGACGUGAACUGAAAUCAAGCCUAAUUACAUGAGCUGCUGGCCCUGUCUCCCCAGUUCACCAAAACUUAUUCUUAUUUCUUUGAUCCCUCCUCAACUGGGGAAACCACGGAAAAUGUGUUUUCCUUCAAAAAGAUCGUCCACCUUGUUGGUGUGUCAGCGAAAACCCCAAGAUGCUCGGCUCAGAGGCUGGAGCUGGGCACCAUGGCUGGUCUUCAGAGCUCGCUGAAGGGGCGCCCUCCCCUCUACCACCCCUCCUGUCCCGGCCACCCCCCAGCUGUCCCCACUCCCCCUCCCCUGGGGUGAAGCAUGAAUAUUUUCACAGUGAGGUGUAGGUCUAUCUGUGGCACUGCCCACAAAAUAACAGGAUUCCAGGGAGCAAAGAGCCUGCCCAGAGUCUCCCCGGUGCUGGCCACAGGUAUGCCAGCAGGAAGUCGGGGGCGGUGCGGGGGGGACGCUGGGCUUGCAAACAUGCAGGAUGGGGGGGGGGGGCGCUGCCAGCCAGGUAACUCGCUAUCAUCUGUUUUUGCAAUGUCCCCCCUCCCUGCUCUGCCCCGGCCGUGGCUGUGGUUCAAGUGCAAUCAGACGGGGCAGCCAGCACCUGGGAUGAAGCCGCCUCUCCCUCUGCUUUGUGCAGUGUGCUGCGUUCCUGGUUCCUUUCACCGCCCUGAUGCAUUCUGUGGGUGCUCUGCCCAUGAGUGCGGGGACUGGGUCCGCCUCUGUUCGCCUGGGUCCCAGGGAGAGAGGUGGGAGGGCGCCUCGGAGAGCUCACGACCUUCCCGGCAGAGGAUUUCUUACUCUCGGGUUGAAAUUGCUUGCCCUUUAUGGUCACCGCUCUCAGAAAUGCCUUCUUCAAAAAGACAGCUUGUCUGAGAGCCAGGCGUAGACUCUGAGCCCAGUAGGCACAGACUCUAUACACGUGCUGGGGCUGCAGCCUAGGUGCCCAGGGCACCCCAGUCACAACAGUUCCGCCAGUUCUAACACGUGCAAGCUUGUAGCCUGGGGCCAUCGGGCAGGUCGGCUGAAAGGAGGUGGACACCUUUUCCACGUUGGUCAGCCUCCCAGAGUCAAGCAUCUGUGUACUCCUACCCUAGCUUAACCUCGGUCAGUGGCUGCCCAUGGCCUGUAGGACAAAGGUCAGGCUACCACCUGUGGCCUCCAAGCCCCUCUGCGCCCUGGCCCUGCCAAGCCCUCUUCCCCGGGGCUCACUUCGCUCCCUGCAGCCCCCAACCCCACCCGUUCCGGCUGUCCUGAGCCAUGUGCUGCUUUGCGUCCGUCAUCUAGGUGGUCCCAGGCUCCACACGUGAGCCUCCUCGGUGUGGAUGCCCUUCCCUGGUUUUUACUUCUCACUCACAUGCCCUCACCCUCAGGGCUGGCUCUGCUGUCCCUCCACCUGAGAGUCCGGCCCUCACCUCGCAGGCUGGAUCUGCCCCCUCUGCAUCCGCUGUCGCUGGACUCAUGGAGGAUGAGAGUCCCCAGAAAGAAGCAAGAAGACGUCAGAACGGACCGGGGUUCAAAUCCAAGGUUAUGUCCUCUGGGGCAAGUUAGUAAUUUCUCUGGAGCUUAGUUCCAUCAUGUGUAAAAUGAGGAUAUUAAGAGUAGACUUAGGGGGUUGUUUGAGGAGUAGGUGAGCUGAAGUACAUCGAGUGCUGUAAUCGGUUGAACUGUGACCCUCCGAAGGUACAUCCGCUUGGAACCUCAGAAUAAAGGGCUUCGCAGAUGUACUUGCGUUAAGGAUCUCAAGAUGAGAUCGCCUGGGAUUUUGAUUGGACCUUAAAUCCCAUGGCAGGUCGCUUGUAGGAGUCAGGCAGAGGGAGAUCUGAGAUACACCGAGGGAAGGUCAAGUGAAGCUGGAGGCAGAGACUUGAGUGAUGUGGCCACAAGUUAAGGAACACCUGGGAGCACCAGAGGCCGGGAAAGGCAAGAGGAAGGAUUCUUCCUAGAGCUUUCUGAGGGAGCAGGACCCUGCUGACAUCCUGAUUUUGGACUUGGGGCCUCCAGAACUGCCAGGGGGUGAAAUUCUGUUGUUUCACGCCACGGGGUGUGUGGUCAUCUGUUACAGGAGCCCCGGGAACAGACAACCUUUAGCGUGCCUAUGUGGCAUAUUGUAGUGGUCCGUCAGAGUGUCCUGCUUUUAGUACUGCUGUUUUGGGGACCAAGGGAGGGGAGGGGCCCAGUGUGAAGGGCAUCAUGAGACAGAAUCAGUAGGUGUAUUCGUUUGCCACAGUUGGCUCCUUCCGAGGAAGAACUUUCUCGGGUCUUUCUCCUGGCUUCUGGUGGCGUUGUUAGCAGUCGUGGCUCUUCCCCCAGGCAUCACUGCGUCUGUCUCUGCCUCCAUCUUUACGUGGUGUUGUCCCUGACGGUGUGUCUGUGUCCAAAUAUAAGGACACUGGUCAUAUUGGAUGGGGGGCUCUCCUACCCCAGCAUGACCGCAUCCGAACCAAUUACAUCAGCAACAACCCUAUUUCCAAAUGAGGGCACAUACUCAAGUACUCAGGUUAGGACUUCUACAUAGGACUUUGGUAGGGAAGGCACACUUCCAGCCAUCACAGCAGAUGUAAACAUUCUUUUGUGAACUGGAUCAUGUACAAGGACUCGAACUUCAGGAAUUUUGGUUUCUCCAUUUUAGAGAUAAAGUGGUUUUUUUUUUUUUUUUUUUUUUUGCCGUGAAAUCAACACCCAAGUUUCCGAGCUUUGGGCGAAUCAUGUUAUGCACAGGAACUCUGGGGAUGUUGACAAAACCAGAAAAACAGAUGUCUCUGGUCGACUGGAGAUCAUUCUGAGCCGAGCGGAAGCUUGGGAAACUCAGGCCCCUCAGUGCACAUUUCCAGGCUGGAAUCUGGACAGUGUUAUUCCAGAGAAUUCAAUCCCUGCCAGAAAGGAGGCAAGGGUACACCGUGAGCCCAAAUGAGGUUGAUAGAGCAGCUGGAAAAAGGGUGGGGCGCCUCUUCCCUCCCCGGAGAGAUUCUCCAGUUAUCUAGUUCGGAAGAAGUGUGUGGAUAGCCAGACUUCGUUUUAGCUAUGAGCCAUCCCAGAGAAAAGUGAAUGAAUGUAGAUGUCUUUAAGAUGUCUUGAAAUUGAAGGUGCAAAAGUACCCUGGACAAAUGACUUUUGGACAGCUUUGGACCUUAUGUCUGAUACACCAGACUGGGGUCUAUUUCCCUUACUACCCCCUGCCCCCCAUCUUGGGUUCUCUUCUGCAAAGAAAAAGAUUAAAAGCACAUGUUUUUCCCCCUCCAUAACAUAAAUCUCCAGUCUCUUCCCUUCUUUGGAAGGAUGUGCUUUUCUGAGCACUAAGGUGAUUGAAUAUUGAUUUGGUUAAAAAUGGAGAACAUCUUUGCUUAAACCCGACAGUUCACUGUUCCUCUGGUUCUCCACAUAACUUCUAUUACAUUUCCUGAAAAUCAAUUGAGUUAAAAAUGCCACGUAUGGUUUACUGAAUUUCAUCUAAAGAAUUAAUAAUAAAAACAAAGAUCGCUUGGUCCCAUAACCAAGCAAAUAGAUAUUUAGAUAUUUAGUCUGGGGAGAAAGAAAACUCAUAGUUUAAACAUCACUUAAUGAGAACUCUCUAUUUUUCCAGUGCAGUGGUGGAAAAGAGCACAUCUUUAUUUGAUAAUGAAAAAUACUGAGAGUUACUUAAAGCAGCCCAUUGAAGUACCUGCGCGAGAUCUACGUGUUUCUUGGUGGGGAGCUAUUUCUCCUUGUAACAAUUAGAUGUCACCUACCAGGUCUAUUUCAGAGAAGAGUGAUGAGAAAAUUACAUAAUAGAAGGAUAUUUUCAAUUACGCUGUGAAUUUGUUAAUGACAAUAGUACUUUAUCUAUUGAUCACAGAAAUAAAGCUCUGAAUUUUUGACUCAUCUUGGGGGAGAGAGUUCUUCUUUGGCCUUAAGAGAGAGCAAAGAGAAGCGAUCGUUCUCUUCUUAGACACCAACAGGAUGCACACAGGGCACCUGGGUGGCUCAGUGGGUUAAGCGUCUGACUUCGGCUCAGGUCGUGGGGGUUCGAGCCCUGCCUCAGGCUCUGUGCUGAUGGCUCGGAGCCUGGAGCCUGCUUCUGAUUCUGUGUCUCCCUCUCUCUCUGCCCCUCCCCUGCUCACUCUCUGUCUCUCAAAAGUAAAUAAAACAUUGGGAAAAAAAUAAAAAAAAGAAAAAUGUGUACAGGCAGUCGUCUUUCUACCAUAAGGGGAACUGGCUUUGAAAGGAACCGAGUAAUGUCAACAGCAGAGAAGAGAAUCUUCUGCAACAGGGGUUUUACAACUUUGGCGUGGCUGACAUUUUAGGCCAGAUAAUUCUUUGUCAUUCAGUCUGUCUUGUGCAUUAUGGGAUAUUCGACGGCGUCUCUGGCCUCUACCCAUAGAUGCCCAUAGUACCUUCCAACCCCUCUCAUGACAAUCAAAAAUGGCUCUAGACAUUGCCAAAUAUAUCCAGGGGGACAAAAGUGUUCUAAGGCAGGCCUGUCCUGUAGAAAUAUAAUGUGAAUCACAUAUGCAAUUUAAAAUUUUCUUGGAGCCGUGUUAGAAAAACAAAAGAAACCGGUGAGAUUAAUUUAAAUAAUAUAUUUUAACUUAGUUUAUUAAAAAUAUAGUUUUGAUAUGUAAUAAUAUAAAGUAAUUAAUGUUUUACUUUUCUGGCACAAAGUCUCUGAGUUCAGUGAGUAUCAUACAUUUAAAACGUAUCUUGGGGCGCCUGGUGGCUCAGUGGGUUGAGCAUCCGACUUUGGCUCAGGUCAUGAUCUCUUAGGGCUUGUGAGUUUGAGCCCCGAGGUGGCUCUGUGCGGACAGCUCGGAGCCUGGAGCCUGCUUUGGAUUCUGUGUCUCCCACUCUCUCUGCCCCUCCCCCACUCACCCCCUGUCUGUCUGUCUCUCUCUCAAAAACAAAUAAACAUCAAAAAAAUUUUAAAAGAAUAAUUACAACGUACCUCAGUGAUCACUAGCCACAUUUUAAGUGCUCAGUAGGCAAAUGUGGAUGCUGCACGUCUAAAGCAACCAGCACAGGAAUUUGCCCUCUCUUUGGAGUUCUAGUUCUUUGUGUCCUUAAAUUUCCUUUUUUUUUU